rnacentral:misc_RNA from 1 species
GCGCUUCGCUCCCGGAGCCCACACU